UAAGCCCUAAAAAAAUUUAAUGUUAUGGGGAGUUGGGGGGUUUGUGUGCACAAAUACCUCAGGAUUGUGGGGGUUUUCAACAAAAACAACAACAGAAACUGACCUGACGGGGAUCAUGUGUCUCCCACAGGCCGUGGAGGUGAAUCAGACACAUCGUCUGCUCCAAAAAGGAUCUCGAGGCUCUUCCCUCCGCAAGAGGAGAUGGGGAAGUCAGAGUCAUCCUGCCAGAGAGCUUUCCUUUCAUCCGAUUUCAUCCCGUUUCCUGCCGUCCCUGGAUGGUUUCCUGAAGCCACAGUGCUCUGACCUGACAUGUCCAUGUCAGAGUGCCUUCUCUGUGCAGAUCCGAACACCAAGCCAAGCAUCUGUGUGAUGCAAGGUGGAAAUUUCAUGAAAGUCUGUGGACCAACAGUGAUUUAUGUCAGCCAGAAAUCUGGCUCGUGAAGUUCUUAAUGUCUUAGAGCAGCAAGGCCAAAGGGUAAGCAAGCAGUUUUUCACAGUCCCUGUGGAUGCACAAAACAUGAAAGAUUAAGGACAGAGCAGCCUGUGCUUUGCCAAAGACCCGACCAAAGGAAAGGCCGUGCAGUGCCACCUCUCCCUCUUCGCAGAGGCACGUGAGACAGAAGAGCAGGCUUGCUGAGCUUCCCAAAAACAGCUGCACUCCAGCUUUCUGAGCUGCAUGAGUCCUCCCCAAGCCCCGAGAGCACUCGCCUUGUCUGGGAGUAUGUGUCACGUUAUCCAGAUGUUGGAAAUCUUGCUUCAGGCACAUGUGACCCACUGGUUGGAAUGAGCCACUCCUGCCAGUUUGCUCUUUUCUUGUUUCCAAGUGUAUGAAUUCCUCUUUUAGGCUGUGGUUUCUGCUGAAGUAGCAGAUAAAUCAUGCCUGUUUUGCUGGAAUGGCUGGAUGAGAGGGAGAUGGGCACAGAGGAGGUACAGGGCAAUGGAUCGUGGCUAUUUGCCUGUGUGUGGUUUCAUGCGCACACGGGCCCGGAGCCUCCUUUCCCAGUUCCCAGAACUCAUUAGCCGAUGCUUGGCUCUGUCCCAGCCUCCUCCAGCAUCCCAGUGCUUCGUAAACCUUGGCCCAGGGUGCCCAGCCCCAGCGGGAUGGGCGUUUCUCACUGUGUGCACACAGAACCUCAGGAAAGCUGCCUCCUGGAGCUGAGCUGAUAUCUUCCUGAUAUCCAAGGAGCUGGAUGGGGCAUUAGCAGCUUGCCAGCACUGAGACAAAGAUCGUGUUGCAGCAGCAGGAGGAGACUGCUCGUGCUCUUGGCUGCAUGGAGGGAACCAGGCUGGCUGCAGCCCUCUGCCACUAAGUCUCCUGCUGCCUCUGGAUAUUGGUUCCACAUCUAGAGAAGCAACAGGUGGCCCUCACUCCUUGACCUGUUGGUCUGGAGUGGAGCUUACAGGACCUCCUUUACACUGGCUUCUUGUGCUGUAGUAUUCCCUGGUGGUUGGGACAGCAGGGAAAACAGAGGGAUGGUGGGGUAACCGUCCUCGGUCAUUUAAAACAGAACUCUUAAAUAAAUACAGCUUUAAAGUAACUCAGCACUAGAAGCAGAAGUUUCCACAUGAAAGGUCGAUGUGCAGAUGAACACAAGUACACUGCCAAGAUUUACUGCAGAGAAAGUAGUAAACAGAACAGCUUACAGCACCUUUGGGGUUAUACAGUUCUCUCCUUUGUCUCCAGCAUUUGCAGAUGAUCUCCACACAUGUUGUCAUUUAACAUCCACCCACUCCCACCUUUUUUUUGGCCCAAGCCAGUCGGGAAGACCUCAGGUAGGCUGUGUGAGUGCCAAACCGAACUCGGUGUGUUUCAGGAGUGAGCAGUCGGAGCGAAAAGUCACCCUCAGUGUCCGGGAUUGCUGUUCUACCAAAUGAUCCAGGAGCAGCGUGAAAGGGGGGAGCUGGAGGUCCUGCUCCACAGCACUGCCACCAGCCAGCACUUCCAGACGCCCUGAGCUGUGCAACCCCAAGGAUAUGAACCACACAUGGAAGUCUCAUGCUUUAUAAAAAGAUAGAGAAACCGGAAGGACCCCAUACAACAUGCAGGACCCGUUUGGGAGCUGCCUCCUGAAGGAUUAGAUCUUGCACUCGGCUGCAGUCCUGUGUUCUGCUGCCUUGUGUAACGUCAGCUUACCGAAGACUUGUACACCGACCUGCAAACUCCAGCCAGACCUUCUAGAGGAUGUGCUCAGCGAAACACCACAUUUAGCAGGUAGGGUGGCUGGAGGUGGAGCAGUGUUGUCGGGAUUGCAGGCUGUGUUUCCAGCAGCGGUGUUGGCAGAGCAGCAAAUGCAAUAGCCUAUAAAGACAGAAGAGGGAAGCAGAGGGCAGCUGAGAGCUUUGCCCAAGGAGGACAGAGUGAAUUUACUGCCCCUGUGCCCCCAUCCAGCACCACUGGGAAUUCAAUUUGAAACAGGAAAAUAAAAAGGAACAAGGACCUUCACAGGGCCUUUGAGCAGAGGAAAACAGAGCCUCUCUUCCCAGAGAUUGAUGUUCAUAGCAGUGCCAAACAGGUGUUCCUUCCCUCCACCUCUGGCUACCACAUCACUCUCAGAAGAGCGUGCAUGGAAAGAAGCCAUUCCUGAAGCAGGAUUGCCUUUGAGCUGGCAGCAGAUGAGUGACUGGCAUUGGGCAGCACUGCUGAGGCUCUGGCAGGCCGUUUAGCAGAGAACCUUGGCUAAUGAAUGUCAUCCACACCUAACAGAUGUGCCACUGCCUGCCAUGCCAGAUUUUUGACAUAAUACAGGGCUGCUGGACAUGAUGGUGCUUGGGAAAAGCCACGGAGUGACUUGUGCCUACAACGCAGUGUUCAGUCCCACUCGUGCUCUGCGAGAGAAACCAAACCUGCGGGAGGGAGGGAAGCACAUCCAUGUCUCUCACUCCUCACCCCUGGUUUUAUCGAUACAGAUAUACAAGGCAAACCAAAGGUUUCGGCUGCUAUUCAGUGCCUCCUCAUUUGUCCUGGAGCCGUAACAGUGGUGCCCUUUCUCUUCUGGCUGCUUUUCCCUGCUUCUGGAGCAGCAGUUAUGGGAGAAGCAGAUGGCUACUGAUUGGGUGAGCUUUGUGGCUUUAAUACUGAAUACUUUAUGGAAAAGGACUUUAUCAUGCUUGGUUGGUCAGAGGAACAACGGGAUGAGAUUUAUGACUACAGAAAAUAAAUCUUUUUAAGUUUCAGGCUCCUUCACACACCCCACGUCAAGUUGCUGUUGCAGAGCCAGAUCUGAAAUCCUCAGCAUCUUUCUUUUUUCCCUCCCCCCGGCCCCGUCUGUCUGUCCUUUCA